GCUGUUUGAGGUUGAAGAUGUUCAAGUCAGCAGCUGGUUGUGCAGCUGAUUCAAACAUUUCUGUCCUACAGAAGAUGUUCUGUCAUUUUUAUUCCAGACAGAAACAACUUGUAGCUGGCAAACCCCCGCUGGCAGGCAAAAGCUGUUCCUAGACCAGGUGCUCAGGGGAAGUUCAGCUAUCAGGCCCUCUCUUCUCUCCUCCUGUCCCCAUUUUCUGUGCCCUUCACCCACAUCUCCUACGCCAGGAGAUGGCUGCAAAGGAAACCAUGGCAGCUCCAGGACAUGAAGUGUUCCGCACCAAGCAGUUACUUAGUUUUUAUCUAUUUGAGCAGUAAAUCCUUUCCCACGCUGGCAUAUUAUGACACUAAUUCUCCCUUAUCAAUAUAUCCCUGACUGGCAAAUGCACCCAAAGCAGAAGGGUGAAAAGCCUGAAAAUAAGAUCUAUGCUUCUCAGUAUAUGAGGAUCAGGAAAAGGGUAUUUAAUAGAGCAUUUAUGAUAAGGAUGCUAUCAGUCACCAUGCUUGCAAGCUCUUCAUGUCAAGUGGGUGAGCAGGCUCCUCUCAUGGGGUUCCUCCUGCCCUUCUUGAACACGGUGUCAUAGGAUCAAAGGAUAACUGAGGUUGAAAGGGACCUCAGGGUCUCUGCUCCAACUUCGUGCUUCGGGAAGCAGAGCCAGCUGAGAGAGCAGCGUGGGUUACUUGGGUCUUGAACAGGAUGGACACCACAACUUCUCUAGGUGACUGGUGCUUGACUGUCCUCAUGGUGAGUCACUUUCUCCUUAGACACCGUCUGAACGUCUCUCCAGUUUUUAUGCCUGUUGAUCUCCUCCUGCCAUGCACCCUCUGAGGAGCUUGGUCACAUCUUCUCAAUGCCCCUGUGUGGGUUACGCUCCUGCGGUUCCUGCUGGCCCAUUUCUCCAGCCUGCUGUGGGACAGCAGCCCUGCCUCCAGUGUAUCAACCAGACCCCCCAGUCUGGGGCCGCCCACAAACUUGCUGAGCAUGGACAGUGAUCAGAUUGUGGCCAGAAGCCCAAGGCGCUCCUGCCCUUUGCUUUUCUCUCUCCCAGCUCUGUACUCUCAAGAAAUCUCCAGCAGAAAUGCCUGUGCCCAGAGCCAGCAGGACCAACCUCAUCUUACAUCAGCGAUGCCACUGCUGCCCCUUGCAGCCCCAACUCCCAUGUCACUCGCAGCUUCAAAGCCACUGUGGGGCUGGACUGGCUUUUUCUUGGCAUGCAAGUGAAGCAGAGAUGGGCUCAGGUCUGAAACCUCUCCAGAGCAGGAAAUCCCCGAGCAAAGCUAGGGCCUCUGCUCAGCCCACCACUGUUUUCACUGAGCGAGCUGCUGGGGAAGCACGAAGCCCAAUUACAAGACAAAGAACAAAAGUCCCAGGGGAACAUCGCCAGGGUAGUCAUCUCCACACAUGCAAAGGUCCCUUCUGCCUGGGUUUUUUUUUCCCCUUUGAAAUUUCAAAUUCCAGUUUGUGGACAAAGUCCUGCCUAUCUGAGAAUAUAGAUCUCCGACCACUGACCAAACUCCACUUAAAGCAGUCCUGAGGGCUGCUCUUCCCCUUGCCCAUGGAUGCCUCCGCUCAGUCCCUGGGUUUGCCGUAUUGCACCGAAACUUUUGCACCAGAGCAGAGCACUCAUACUCAUACAGAAAGCGGAUUUUGCUUGUUUCAGCCUAAAAGUCAGCAUCUCCCUUUCUCCUCAUGGAAUGGGAAGGACCAUCCAGAAUAACCAGGAGUGUGCCUGAAUAGGCUGUCUGGUCCCCAGCGUCCUCAACUGCCAGAGCACAGCAAGUGCCAGAGGGGUAAGUGGGAGCAAAACAGUAUUCAGGAGCUCCAUGUCCACAGCAGAUCCGCACUCCUGCAGCCGGUGGCUACCAUAGCGUUCUGCACAACACAACCAUCCUGUCUACUGACACAGAAACAAAAAAAACACAGCAGAAAGCAAGGGAUGGGAACAUCGGAGCUUUCUACACGCAAGGUUUGUUGCAUGGGGGACAGCAAGGGGGGGUGGGGAUGGAAAUCACACAUCUCCACAGUCCCAUAAACCCAUGGCCAGGACACUGCAGUGCCAACUGCCUGGCUCCUGGCUAACAAACAACACAGCAAACUGCUAACUAGCCUUUGAGUAUUUGACCUAUGUCUCCAAGACAGGAUAGCACUAUUUGUCCCUUAACGUUCCUGCAAAGCCCAGUGCCGUUGGCCUCUUGUAUCAUAAAGAUAUUAAAAUAUAUUAUGACCAUAAACUACAUCACUUGAGGAAAUGAACCAUUUCUAGUAAACGUGUCAUGGGACGCCGAAGCCAUGAACUAUUCUAAAUUAAUCUCUGGCUGAUAAAGAGCGCAGGUAUUUGCUGGGAGCAGCUUCCAGUGUGUGGCUGCCCACGCAGCGCUGGCAUGGGGAGCUCAUCCCGCAGGAUAGUGGCUCAGGGUGCAGGCUGCCCCAGGAGGCAUAAACCCCACUGCCAGUGCAAGCCCUGCUUCAGGGGAAUUGCUCAAGCAAGAGGAGCCCCAAGAAUUUUGCUGUGCCCCAGGGUCGAGUGGGGGCUGUUGGGGUGUUUUGUGGGCGAGGCUCUGCGGGGCAAAGCAGUCCAGGGCUCAGGAUGCACCAAACACGUCCGAGUGCCUGCAGACCCCCCUGAGCACCCUGAGCCCAGUCAGGCUCCUCGCUGCCUCGCCUCCACGCUGAGGUCCCUGGGGUGCUGGGGCCGAGGGGCUGAGCACAGAGCCAGCUGGUGGGGGAUGUGCACUGGAGGCGGCCGUGGAGGGGGACCCAAAAAACCUUUCUAGUAAGAGCUCUGUACAACCGAUAAGGUUUGCAUUGAAACUUCUUCUCUCAGUUCCUUUCAAGCUUUCAUUAUGAGGGCUGGGUAAGUCCUGCUGCAGACCUCUUUGGGUAAGGAGCAGGCAGCAAACAGGGCAGGACCAGAGGUUGUCCUGCAAGCCGGCAGGAUCCGUCCCUGGGCCUGCUGAGGCUGCACCACGGGGCAGUAAUGCCAGACAGUGGGAUCUGGGCUGAGAAUGAUCAGUUCAUUUCCCAAAUGGCACAGGCAGUCACCAGGGUGUCCGUGGGACGCCAGCCUGGCUCCACCACCUCUUCCCCCAGGAGUCACAACACCCACUCCCCCAUGCCACCCGCACUGGAGUGUCCCUCUCGAGACCCUCGGAACUGAGCUUGGGGACAUCAGCCAUUGCUACCCACAAACCUGGCAUGUUCACUCCGCACGCAGCAAAACAGAAACCAGAGACAUGGGAGGACCCUCAGAGGGGGACUAGCAAUAGGUAUGUGGGGGAAGAGCAGAUUUUGGCUGCUCUGAAACCCCGCUGGAGACCCUGGGGGUUGCCAGUGCCCUUCACUCACAUCAACUCCGCAGGGCUGGCUAUGCAGCUACUUCUCUCCCUGCUGCGAGUGCCAGGGGGAGCACGGGGGGUACCUGGUGUUUCCUGGAGCAGGUCGUAUCUGCUGCCAUUCAUCUUCCAGGGGCGCUCAGCUCUGCGGGCAGAGCUAGGGGAGUCUGGCCCUUGGAUGGGGCGGUCCAGCCAACAAGCCCCCCAUGGGCAGCAGGGCACGAGCCAUGCCCGGGAGCUGGCUGCGGUGCGGUGGCAGGGACCGGCUAAUCCCUUAAUGCUGGUCACAAUGAGAUUUGAUGGGGAGCAGGAGUUUGUGCUGCAGAGUUGCAGGUUUUAAAGGGUUCUGGCCACUACCCGGAGGGGAAUUAUAAGGUGGCUCCAGGUCUGUGCUCUACUGCUGGUGCCCACAGCAAUGCCCGCUGCUUUCUGGGCCACCUUUCCAAGGUGCCCUCACCCUGGCCUCUAGCCUGCCUGGGUUUCUGUGGGGCAGGGGGUGCCCAACCACACAUGCACCUCUGGAGGCUGCUCCAGAAAAUGUGCCUGGGUGUGUUUAACAGCAGGAGUGGGCCUAAAUUCCUCUCCAGGGAGAGUCUGACCACUUUCACUUUAAAAUGUUUCUAUAUAAAUACCCAGAACACCAUAUCCUUGAGAAACCACCUUUUUCUCCCCCUCUAGCCACCACCACAACACGCAGGGCUGGGAGAUGCAGGGGCAAGGCAGGAGAGCAGGCAGGAGCUGCAUGCGUGGUGCUCCCUGCCUUUGGGCAGCCCUGAACUUUGUGUCCUGCAGACCCCAGAGAGCAUCUCCAGUGGUUCCAAACACCCUGGGGGUAUCGCUGCCAGAGCUCUCCCACGGCUCUUCAGGCGCCUGCAUGCUCUGUGCUGGUGUCAUCCUUUCCCCAUCCUCUCCCAAGGAAAUUGGGACCUGGAAAACUCUCAGGGCUGAGAUUUCUUAAUCAACCGUGCGUGUUGGUGCUGUCAAUGGGGAAUCCAGGAGCCCAGGCAGUCUGAGAUUUUGGCUAGUGUCUUGUGCCAUGGCCUGUCCGGGGCAAACCCAGCAGGAAUAAAAGGGAAUUUCCAACUGCCAGACUACAAGAGAGCCCUCUCUACCACCACAGUGCUGAACUCUCUGCGUUUUUUUCUGGAGAUGAAGCUGCUGUGACACUCUCGUGUUGAUUUAUUUGGCCCCGGUCCAGAGGGGAGCACAGAAGGCUGCUGAGCACCGAGAUUUUUCUCCGCUGCAGGGAGUGUGUGCUGGCAUGUGUGGCCCUGCUUAGCCUGGAGGAGGAAAAUUAGGUGAGGGAUUAGAGUGGCACUUCACUGGGUUUUGACAGACACUGAGCAAUAAAUUGAAUGCUGACAAGGAGAACUGGGCACCUUUACAAUGCAGCCCUGUGCUGUAGGACCAGGGCCAGAAGCAAGCAAGGCCUCACCAGCGUCCACACCCAGAAGAGCCAACUCGUGGCCAAGCCCGUCUGAAACACUCAUUUUCCUGCACUUCCCUUCCUCCUUGGAUGGAUUUCCUCCCACCAAGCCCACCUCUGCUUUUGCUGUGCUAAAGAGGAGACAGCUCAUUCCUGCCCUCCAGAGACAUCGGACCCCAAGCGCUACCUUGAAGGCAUGAGUCUAAUGGAGCAAAACCAUUCCUAAACCAUUCCCAUUCCAUCUUCGCGAGCCUCUGCUCUCACUCAGGGCUGCCUGGGAUGCAUUUGAAUUAAUUUGGAGCACACACAAUAAUCCCCUGAUGAGUCAGGGAUGGGAAAUGACCAGCAGACCCGUACUCCGGCUCCGUGCCCGGGGAAGGGGUGCACUGACAACAGGGGCUGAAGCCCAGCAUGCCCACAUGGAGCCGGGAGCAGCAUCAAGGGCAGGGCUGGGUUUGAACUGUGUGUGACCCCAUGACACCUCCCUUCACCGCUCUGUUUCCACACGGGUUUUAAUGCCUGUAACAGGGAAACACACCCAGGUCAACAGAGAUUUCUCCCAGACAGCAGCAGUCCCCCGUCACACACCCAUGGAUGGGCCAUGGGCAGCACCUGGCUCUGCUUCCACCAGGGUGUCCAUGUGGUGGCAAAGCCACCACCUCCAUCCCACCCCCAUUUAGCCCUUGACGGCAGCAGUCCCUAGGCAGGGGAGCAGCCAGGGCUGUGGAUCUGAAGCCCGGCUGUUUGCCUUCUUGCCCGUCCUGCCUCCUCAUUCCACCCUUCAUUUCCUGGUGCUGCCUUUGCCCUGCUGACGGCAGGCUCUCUGCAUGGGCUGGUUCCCUCAGGCACCCAUCGGUGCCUUCUCCGCUGCCAGAGCACCUUGACCUGGCCGAGGGUGCCUGUCCCUGGGGCAGGACCUGCUCCUGCUCUUGGGUGGUGGUGGCUGCAAGCGAGAGGCCAUACAGCUUGCUGGAUGGGAGCCUGCAGCACAGACAGGGCUUUUUUUUAUGGGGCAGUUGUUAUUUUAUUCCUUCUGCUGAGCCCCCCAGUGUUGCCCUGUCCAUUAACCUGACACCCUGCCCAACCCCACAGCCCAUGGCUAAAUUUCCUUGGGUGCUGUUAGCAGCAGUGAAUUCUCUUCCCAGGAUGAGCUGAUGCUUCUCACCAGGGUGGUGGGGUGGACCCUGCCAUCCCAGUGAUGGUGUGGGAUGAAGGAUUGCCCAGCCAGCUGGAAACUGGGGCAGGCUGGCACGCUGGAGAGGAACAGCAGCAGCUUCUUAUCAUGGGGCAUCAAGGAGCAUCAUCAUCCAUGGGGCAUCAAGGCUUUGGGGACCAUGUGGCAAAAUGGUGAGCCUCCCCUGGGAGCAGAGGGGGAGAGAAGUGGCCGAGUGGGGCAGGAGGAGCCAGGCCCUGCAGCCUCUGUGAACGGUGCUGGGCCAUAAACGCGGCACGGUGGCUGUCAUUUAUGUGUCAGCAAACACGUUGAGUGGGCUCGACUAUUGAUUCUGACUGCAUAAAAGAGUGUUGUGGCACUUGUUCAGGUUUGUGCAGGUUUUACAGCUCUUGUUCCAAGAAGUGCCUAUGUAUUUGGUUUUGUUUCUUCCUUCAGGUCUUCUGUCUGUUGACAUUGGCUCUCCUAACGUGCGUUGGGCCAUGCCAGGAAGCUGAGUGUACAGCUCUCCUUGCGUUUCCCACUUUCCCAGGGGUUAUCGCCUAUAAAAUCUCACACACACCCAUGGCUGGGACAGGUUUCUGGUGCAGAGGCAGGUGAAAGGUGCCUGCAGGUCCCACGUUGAUGGGUUUGGGUGCCUCAUGCUGGGUGGCAGGAGCUGAGCCACCCACCCUGACAGAUGGGUUUUAAGGUGGAUGGACAAAGCCACAGGGAAGGUGCUGCCCUGGGUAGCCUGAGGCAGGAUGAGCAAGGACAGAGGGCUGGAGGGCUGCGAUGAAAAUUGGAGUGUAAAACCAGCUUGGAUCUCCAGAGAAGGAGAAGGUGUCAGGGCUCCCAGAGCAUCAUCGCAGAGGAGAUGGCGCAUGCGUGGUGACCCACAGCAGGACACACACAGUAUCACCCAUUCCCCACCUCCAGUCUUUUUCCCACCAGGAGAUGCCAGCACCAGCUGAGCCCACAGUGACACCUUGGUGGCCGGGGGCUCAGAGGGCUUUGAGCCCACAGUGAUGGUCCCCAUCCAUCCCUUGGCACCGGGGCUGCUGGUACCAUGGGGAUGCAGCUGAAGUCCCUCCAGUGGCUGCAGCAUUUUGGGAUAGAAAGUCUGGUCCAGCCUUGCAGACCCUUCAGCUUUUGGGAGCCAGGAUCUGUGUCCUCCUCGGCUGCUUGUGCCUUUCCAUAGCCACUUGCUUUACAUGGAGCAGCUCCUCUCACACCUUUGGUGUAUCAUCCAGAGCCCAGAUUUACUUUUUGAGGCACUUGUUUCCUGAAGGGAUUUGCUGGGUAAUUUCUGUUGAUGCUUAGGCUGAAGCUUUGACGGGAGCCAUUUCUGGGAGUAAUUGCUUCUGGGACCUGGCUUUGCUUAGAGGUCCUGGUGGGAAUGUGGUGCCUCUGCCCAGCACAGGCGAGCAGAGCCAUCACCCCUGGGUUCACGAUACAGCCACUACCUUGAAAUUUGCCUUCUGUGAAAAUUCUGCAACAUUUGCCUUUUCCACAAACAUUUCUGCCAGGAACCUUGUUUGCUUGAAUAUUUGAGGAAAGCAAACAGAGAAGGAGCCUGAACACAAACAGUCAUGGACAUUUUUUUGCAGUCUUUGCCCCAUUCUAACCCCGAGCCCGCCAGCAGAGACACUUGCAGGUGUCCCCCCUGCCCAGCGUACCCCUUGGCUGUGCCCUAUGCACUGCCCCGUCCCUCGCUGCUGGCCCUGGUCCCACUGCAAAUAUUUCUGUCUUGAAAGAAAAUCACCCAGACCUUGCUGUCUGUGGGACCACCACCACUCACCACCCCUUUGCACUCACUUUAAAUAAACAUCAUUUUUUAAUGCCGUUUAAGAAAUGUCAGCAGAUGACUAACUGAGCAUGUCUGCCUUGCUGACCUACACCUGCUCUUCGGAGCUCAAAAUAGCUCUCAGACACUCCUCAAACCUUCCCCAGCCUCAUGCUGCUCCCCUGCCAGAGCUGGAGCUCAUUGCCCACUGAUAGCAGCCCUCUGUGCUCACUCCCCCUUAUAAAAAUACCAUCGUAUUUUCAGGCGAAGCCGGACGAGGGUGUGCUGCUGGCCCGAUAAGCAGCCGUGGUGAGGCAGCUGCCCCGGCCUGAUGGAAGUUGCAGCCCUGUGGGCAAGCGCAGCUGCCCGGUGACACUGAGCAGCAUCCCUGCAGCCUGACGCUAUGGAGGGAGCAUCCCCAGCUCUUCCUGAAGGAAACCUUCACCAAGCACUGGCAAACAGCACUCAGGAUCAGGCCAAGGUGUCUAAAGUAGUGAUUGUCCCUUUUGCAUCCCAUCUAAAUACCAGUGCUUAUUCCUGGGUGUGACAAGACCCUGCUCAGCCAUUUCUUGCCCUGCUAAGUGCUGACCCUGCCAGCACCAGUGUUAGGGCCACCCCCUGCAGGCAGCGGGGACAGCGAGAGUGGGGACAGGGAAGGGGGCUGUGCUGGGUGUCCGAAUGCCCACUGGUCCCUGACAGUCUCCAGGCCACGGACACAGAGCACAAGGAGUAAACAGAGGAGUUAAAUAGCAGUUGACAGGAGAAAUCAAGGGGGGAAAGCUCAGUUUGGGUCAUAUCUAGUGGAAAGCUAUAAAAGAAUUAGACCCAUGUGCCAAUGAAAAAUGGUUGCUUCACAGUGAAAAGUAAAAAUACUCAGAAA